AGGUACUAUAAAGGUUCAGGUGUGGUAUAAAGGUUCAGGUGUGGUGGUGAUGUACUAUAAAGGUGUGGUGGUGAUGUACUAUAAAGGUGUGGUGGUGAUGUACUAUAAAGGUGUGGUGAUGUUCUAUAAAGGUUCAGGUGUGGUGGUGUACUAUAAAGGUUCAGGUGUGGUGGUGUACUAUAAAGGUACUAUAAAGGUGCAAUGGUGUA
rnacentral:lncRNA from 1 species